rnacentral:rRNA from 1 species
UACGGAAGGCAGCAGGGGGAAUAUUGCACAAUGGGCGCAAGCCUGAUGCAGCCAUGCCGCGUGUAUGAAGAAGGCCUUCGGGUUGUAAAGUACUUUCAGUCGUGAGGAAGGUGUUAAGGUUAAUAACCUUAGCAAUUGACGUUAGCGACAGAAGAAGCACCGGCUAACUCCGUGCCAGCAGCCGCGGUAAUACGGAGGGUGCGAGCGUUAAUCGGAAUUACUGGGCGUAAAGGGCACGCAGGCGGUUAAUUAAGUUGGAUGUGAAAUCCCCGGGCUUAACCUGGGAAUGGCAUUCAAGACUGGUUAGCUAGAGUCUUGUAGAGGGGGUAGAAUUCCAUGUGUAGCGGUGAAAUGCGUAGAGAUGUGGAGGAAUACCGGUGGCGAAGGCGGCCCCUGGGACAAAGACUGACGCUCAUGUGCGAAAGCGUGGGGAGCAAAC